CCUACGGGAGGCUGCAGUGGGGAAUUUUGGACAAUGGGGGCAACCCUGAUCCAGCCAUUCCGCGUGAGUGAAGAAGGCCUUCGGGUUGUAAAGCUCUUUCGCAAGGGAAGAAAACUUACUCAAUAACACUGGGUGAGGCUGACGGUACCUUGAUAAGAAGCACCGGCUAACUACGUGCCAGCAGCCGCGGUGAUACGUAGGGUGCGAGCGUUAAUCGGAACUACUGGAGGUAAUGUGUGAGGACAGAGGUGAAAUCCCCGGGCUCAACCUGGGAACUGCGUCUGAAACUACAAGGCUAGAGUAUGGCAGAGGGGGGUAGAAUACCACGUGUAGCAGUGAAAUGCGUAGAGAUGUGGAGGAAUACCAAUGGCGAAGGCAGCCCCCUGGGUCAAUACUGACGCUCAUGCACGAAAGCGUGGGGAGCAAACAGGAUUAGAUACCCUAGUAGUC
rnacentral:rRNA from 1 species